rnacentral:rRNA from 1 species
GACGAACGCUGGCGGCGUGCUUAACACAUGCAAGUCGAACGGAAAGGCCCUGCUUUUGUGGGGUGCUCGAGUGGCGAACGGGUGAGUAACACGUGAGUAACCUGCCCUUGACUUUGGGAUAACUUCAGGAAACUGGGGCUAAUACCGGAUAGGAGAUCCUGCUGCAUGGUGGGGGUUGGAAAGUUUCGGCGGUUGGGGAUGGACUCGCGGCUUAUCAGCUUGUUGGUGGGGUAGUGGCUUACCAAGGCUUUGACGGGUAGCCGGCCUGAGAGGGUGACCGGCCACAUUGGGACUGAGGUACGGCCCAGAGUCCUACGGGAGGCAGCAGUGGAGGAUAUUGCACGAUGGGCGGAAGCCUGAUGCAGCAACGCCGCGUGCGGGAUGACGGCCGUCGGGUUGUAAACCGCUUUCGCCUGUGACGAAGCGUGAGUGACGGUAAUGGGUAAAGAAGCAACGGCUAACUACGUG